rnacentral:rRNA from 1 species
UGGGGAAUUUUGGACAAUGGGGGCAACCCUGAUCCAGCAAUGCCGCGUGUGUGAAGAAGGCCUUCGGGUUGUAAAGCACUUUUGUCAGGGAAGAAACGGUGAAGGCUAAUAUCCUUUGCUAAUGACGGUACCUGAAGAAUAAGGACCGGCUAACUACGUGCCAGCAGCCGCGGUAAUACGUAGGGUCCAAGCGUUAAUCGGAAUUACUGGGCGUAAAGCGUGCGCAGGCGGUUGUGUAAGUCAGAUGUGAAAUCCCCGGGCUUAACCUGGGAAUGGCAUUUGAGACUGCACGGCUAGAGUGUGUCAGAGGGGGGUAGAAUUCCACGUGUAGCAGUGGAAUGCGUAGAGAUGUGGAGGAAUACCGAUGGCGAAGGCAGCCCCCUGGGAUAACACUGACGCUCAUGCACGAAAGCGUGGGGAGCAAACA